GUCCAGACUCCUACGGGAGGCAGCAGUGGGGGAUAUUGCACAAUGGGGGGAACCCUGAUGCAGCGACGCCGCGUGGGUGAAGGAGUGCUUCGGCAUGUAAAGCCCUAUCGGCAGGGAAGAAGCAAGACGGUACCUGACUAAGAAGCCCCGGCUAACUACGUGCCAGCAGCCGCGGUAAUACGUAGGGGGCAAGCGUUAUCCGGAUUUACUGGGUGUAAAGGGGGCGCAGACGGCAAUGCAAGCCAGGAGUGAAAGCCCGGGGCCCAACCCCGGGACUGCUCUUGGAACUGCAUGGCUGGAGUACAGGAGGGGCAGGCGGAAUUCCUAGUGUAGCGGUGAAAUGCGUAGAUAUUAGGAGGAACACCGGUGGCGAAGGCGGCCUGCUGGACUGUGACUGACGUUGAGGCCCGAAGGCGUGGGGAGCAAACAGGAUUAGAUACCCGAGUA
rnacentral:rRNA from 1 species